GUUUUCUUUCAAGUCAUUUACAAACUCAUCAAAAAAACAGGGAAAAUUCCGCAAACAACAAACGCACGAAAGCGCCGCGUACAUACUUAACGGCAUUCUUUCCGCGAUUCUCACAUUACAAACGUGAGCUAAAACGGCUAGCAGAGCCGGAUACGUGUCUACCACAUGUGAGAUGGAAAUAGCCGAAUAAGACCAUUGCGGCAACUGCCGAACGCCGAUGACGACAAUGUGAAUUUUCGAUUUUUAAUCAAAGCAAAAACAGGAACAAAAACAAAAAUAUAAAACACAAAACCAACAACACACAAAACCGAAACUGCAGUGGCGGCUAAUUGACAACAACAACAAAAUGUGCGCAUAAAUAACAUGACAUUACAGAAUGCAACAAGCCAACAUAAAGCCAAACAAAUAACAAUAAUAAACGCACACAAAUAAAUGCCAGCGCUAACGGCUCAGCCACGCGCCGAAAGCUUUGUGGAAGAGAGACAGCGUAGCUUACAAGUAUACACCACUCACCUAGGCGCUUCGGCAAUGCAAUGGCAAUGAGCUAAUGCAGCGCUCGCGUUGACAGCACAGCGACGUCGUUGUAGUGAAAAAUCAAGCAGCAGCGUUGUCGGCGCAGCAAGUCACGUGGAUUUCGCUGUGACCUAAAGCCCAUUGUCUGGGAGCGCCAGUCGUUCUAAGCACGUGUAACCGACACACUCAGCACACCUCCUCCACAACCCAAAUCACAGUCACACAUACACACACCCGACAUCGGUUACUCAGCCUGAACGGCGACGCUUCGGGCUGUGCGGGCGCCGUAGACAAGCGUUGAGAAGAAAUGAGGCAGCAGCAGCAGCGAGCAGAGUGUGGUAGUAAUGGCAAUAAAAGUAAUCACAACGGCAACUGUAAAUGUGUAGAUAGAUGUGUUGCUGAACACACGAAGGGGCUGUUAGAUACGAGCACAAAAACAAAUACGCUACAAUUGGCGAUCGGCAAUGUAAAUAACUACUAGCUGACGUAGUAAGCUAUAGAAAAGAGUGCCUAGAAGUGUUUUGGAAAUUACUUUAAUGCAAUUCAUUGCGAUGCAAUUGCGCUGAGCUAAGACAAAAUUCCCUAAAUUGAAGACAAAAUAACACCGCAGCUGCAUAAAUUAGGAGCAAUAAAAUGGCUCCACACCACGGCUCGUGUGACUUCAUUUUCUCGAUGAUUUGGAGUUAAUUGAUGAUUCAAGUGUUUGGUUUAACCGAGCGAUUUCGUAAAGUGUCGUGGCAAUAUUGGUAUUUGGUGGGGAAUUUUCUGAAAGUCAUAACAGAACUUUCAGCCUUAAAAAAGAAACUUUAUAAAGGUAGCUUUCGGUUGCUUACAAAAUUCAAAAACUAAUUAUAAAACGCAGUAAAUCGAAAACCUAUAAAGCGCCAUAGCUAAGCUCCACAACAAACUGCAAUACUAUUAUUUGCUCAGAGCAAUUUUUUUUCUUAUUCUCUCCGGCACUGUGAAACUAAGUCAAAUCGGAUGAUAACUCCGCACACUUCUUAUGUAACGGUUUUUAUAAAUUUUAAAUAAAUGCGACGCAGGCAUUAGAUUUUAUAUAUGGGAUGGUUUAAUAGGGUUUACUAGAAGACGGUUGUGGAAGUCUUUUCCGAUAUCGGUGCAUAAGAUUUUUUGGACAUUCCUAACUUACUGUGCGAAAAUGGGCGAAAUCGGACUACAACCACGCCUACUUCUCAUAUAACACAAAUAUAUAUUCCUUUGGAUUCUAUAUAAUUAAUUAUUAAAAUGAAAUUUUGUACUUAAUUAUGAAAGCAUAAGUCAUUCGCUGUUUUAAAUAUAUACGAGUAUACGACGCAAAAAUAUAAGUAUAUGCCUGUUCCCACAUUUUGUUCAAACGCAAAAAAAAAUAUCGGAAAAUUCCGUUAACAUUUAAGCUUUCGGCAAAAAACCAACCACAAUUUUAAGAGUGGGAAAAAAAUAUCACUUGCUGAAUAAGCUUACACGAAAAGGUUAUAAAUUUGUACCUGUGGCAGCCGAAGCUUUAGCUCACUUGCUAGUGCUACUUUUCGACGCGCCCACACAGCACCCUAACUGUGAGUCACAUUCGCAGUACACGCGACAAGUCGCUAACGAGUAAACCAGCCAAUCAACUGACCCGCUAAUCGACCCUGCUGACAUGCGAAUACUGCAAUGUGCACACAUCCGUACAGGUGAUUUUCGAAGCAAACAAACGAAGUGCUUUUUCUGGAUAUUAAUUAGUAGAAAAGCUUAUCAGUACUGGACGCAUGAAAGCGCAUGCGCACGUUUUAGUACAUCAACUAUGUAAUGUAAGGUGUGUAGGAAUUUGGCACUAUUGAAAUCGUCGACUAAUAGACAAUUGUUGUAAAAUAGUAGCAGCAAUUUUUAUGAUUAUUAUUGGAGUUUUUAC